GAUGAACGCUAGCGGCAGGCCUAAUACAUGCAAGUCGAGGGGUAGAGCUAGCUUGCUAGCUUGAGACCGGCGCACGGGUGCGUAACGCGUAUGCAACCUACCCUUUUCUGGGGGAUAGCCCGGAGAAAUCCGGAUUAAUACCGCAUAAGACCACGAUACGGCAUCGUGAUGUGGUCAAACAUUUAUGGGAGAAGGAUGGGCAUGCGUGCCAUUAGCUAGUUGGCGGGGUAACGGCCCACCAAGGCGACGAUGGCUAGGGGAUCUGAGAGGAUGGCCCCCCACACUGGUACUGAGACACGGACCAGACUCCUACGGGAGGCAGCAGAAGGAAUAUUGGUAAAUGGGGGCAACCCUGAACCAGCCAUGCCGCGUGCAGGACGACGGCCCUCCGGGUUGUAAACUGCUUUUGUACGGGAAUAAACCCCGCUACGUGUAGUGGGCUGAAUGUACCGUAAGAAUAAGGAUCGGCUAACUCCGUGCCAGCCGCCGCCGUAAGAC
rnacentral:rRNA from 1 species